CUGAGAACUCUGGUGAAGGAACUAGGCAAAAUAGUACCGUAACUUCGGGAGAAGGUACGCCCCUAGUACGUGAAGGCCCUGCGGCCGGAGCGGACGGGGGUUGCAGUGACCAGGUGGCUGCGACUGUUUACUAAAAACACAGCACUCUGCAAACGCGUAAGCGGACGUAUAGGGUGUGACGCCUGCCCGGUGCCGGAAGGUUAAGUGAUGGGGUUAGCCGCAAGGCGAAGCUCUUGAUCGAAGCCCCGGUAAACGGCGGCCGUAACAAUAACGGUCCUAAGGUAGCGAAAUUCCUUGUCGGGUAAGUUCCGACCUGCACGAAUGGCGUAACGAUGGCCACGCUGUCUCCACCAGAGACUCAGUGAAAUUGAAAUCUCGGUUAAGAUGCCGAGUACCCGCGGCUAGACGGAAAGACCCCGUGAACCUUUACUAUAGCUUCACACGGGACUUUGAAUCGACUUGUGUAGGAUAGGUGGGAGGCUAGGAAGCCCGGACGCCAGUUCGGGUGGAGCCACCCUUGAAAUACCACCCUGGUCGAUUUGGAGUUCUAACCCAGGCCCGUUAUCCGGGUCGGGGACAGUGUGUGGUGGGUAGUUUGACUGGGGCGGUCUCCUCCUAAAGAGUAACGGAGGAGCACGAAGGUACCCUCAGCGCGGUCGGAAAUCGCGCAGUGAGUGCAAAGGCAUAAGGGUGCUUGACUGCGAGACAGACACGUCGAGCAGGUACGAAAGUAGGUCUUAGUGAUCCGGUGGUUCUGUAUGGAAGGGCCAUCGCUCAACGGAUAAAAGGUACUCCGGGGAUAACAGGCUGAUACCGCCCAAGAGUUCAUAUCGACGGCGGUGUUUGGCACCUCGAUGUCGGCUCAUCACAUCCUGGGGCUGAAGUCGGUCCCAAGGGUAUGGCUGUUCGCCAUUUAAAGUGGUACGCGAGCUGGGUUUAGAACGUCGUGAGACAGUUCGGUCCCUAUCUGCCGUGGGCGUUGGAGACUUGCGGGAAGCUGCUCCUAGUACGAGAGGACCGGAGUGGACGUACCCCUGGUGUUCCGGUUGUCACGCCAGUGGCAUUGCCGGGUAGCUACGUACGGACGGGAUAUCCGCUGAAAGCAUCUAAGCGGGAAGCCCCUCCCAAGAUGAGGUCUCCCUGGACCCUUGAGGUCCCUAAAGGUCCGUCACAGACUAUGACGUGGAUAGGCGGGAUGUGGAAGCGCGGUAACGCGUGCAGCUAACCCGUACUAAUUGACCGUGCGGCUUGACCCU
rnacentral:rRNA from 1 species